GUGCUCACUCUUGCAGCACAUACAUGAAAACUGAAAUGACAGAAGAUCAGCGUGGCCUCUGCACGAAGAUGACACGCAAAGUCGCAAAGUGUUCCAUAUAUUU
rnacentral:snRNA from 1 species